UUGCACAUUGAACACCCAAGUGUGCUUUAUAGCCCUCUGAGCCUUGACUCUAUACUAAAGUCUGUUCUUUUCCUCUGCACUGAAAGAAAUACUGUCCUUUUUAGUGUAUCGGCAGGGAGGGGGACUG
rnacentral:snoRNA from 1 species